CCUACGGGAGGCAGCAGUGGGGAAUAUUGGACAAUGGGCGCAAGCCUGAUCCAGCAAUGCCGCGUGAGUGAUGAAGGCCUUCGGGUCGUAAAGCUCUUUUACCCGGGAUGAUAAUGACAGUACCGGGAGAAUAAGCUCCGGCUAACUCCGUGCCAGCAGCCGCGGUAAUACGGAGGGAGCUAGCGUUGUUCGGAAUUACUGGGCGUAAAGCGCACGUAGGCGGUUAUUCAAGUCAGAGGUGAAAGCCCGGGGCUCAACCCCGGAACUGCCUUUGAAACUAGAUGACUAGAAUCUUGGAGAGGUCAGUGGAAUUCCGAGUGUAGAGGUGAAAUUCGUAGAUAUUCGGAAGAACACCAGUGGCGAAGGCGACUGACUGGACAAGUAUUGACGCUGAGGCGCGAAAGCGUGGGGAGCAAACAGGAUUAGAUACCCUGGUAGUCCACGCCGUAAACGAUGGUAACUAGCUGUCCGGGUACUUGGUAUUUGGGUGGCGCAGCUAACGCAUUAAGUUAUCCGCCUGGGGAGUACGGUCGCAAGNUUAAAACUCAAAUGAAUUGACGG
rnacentral:rRNA from 1 species